AGAGGCCGCAGGGCUGCCGCUGGCUGGAGGGUUUCUCCCUCUGGCGGGAGGAAAGUCCGGACAUCACAGAGCAGGGAACUCUUUAACGAAGAGCGGGGGCGACCCCAGGGAAAGCGCAACAGAAAAUAUACCGCUAACCUUCGGCCGCAAGGUCGUGGGCAGUAAGGUUGAAAUGGCGAGGUAAGAGCUCACCGCGGCUGUGGCGACAUGGCUGGCACUGCAAGCCCUUCCCGAUGCAAGGCCAAAUAGGAAAGCGAUUCCUCCCAGCGAGGAUGAAGGGUUGCUCGCCCGGGGCUUUCGGGUAGGUCGCAUGACCGCGUCGGCAACGGCGCGGCUAGAUGAAUGGCAGCCACCUCUCUUUUUGAGUGGUACAAAAUCCGGCUUACAAGCGGCCUCUUAGC
rnacentral:RNase_P_RNA from 1 species